GUCCCAGCAGAACUUGUUCUGAGAAGGGUGCGGGCACCAGGGCUGAACAGAACCGGCCUGAUGCCUCCGCCUGCCUGGCGCUGAGGACCGGGCCAUCCCCUCGGAAGGAGACCUCCGAGAAGGCGAACAUCGACAAAGGGUGAUAAAAGAAGAUCUUAUUUUUACAUCGAAAGAGGUCAAAUUGUAAUUAUUCGCUAUGGCAUAUGGUUUGCCAAGAAAGCACACAGUGAAAUCAAUUUUGCGUAGAAGUUGUUACAACGUUCAGGAGCCCUGGGAGCUGGCUUUGCUUACGAAAGCUUUGUACAGCAACAUUGCAAGUAUUGGAGUGCCACUUUUUGAAGAUAUUAUUUAUGGCACUCCUUUUAAAAUGAAUCUUGGGAAAAAAACAGAGGAUGUACUACUCCCCACAGCAGAAACGAUAGAAACUGAAAGGGCGUAUGAACUAAAGCGCUUAAACGAAAUUGAACUUCAGAAAAAUGCGGCGGAGCAAGUUCAGUCUUUGCUAAAAGACAAGAAAAUUGGUUUAAGAAGACCUCUUCCACCCAAGAAGUGAAAAUCACUUUAUCGUUUAGAGGCAUGUCCUUUGUCUCCAUAUCCGAAGGGGAUGAGGGGAUCCAGACCAUUCACCUUAUGACACACCACUUGGUGCAGACAAUAAGAACAUUAUCUUGACAUACUUUAAAUGGCACAUAAAUGAAAAUAAAAUGAAUAAAGAAGAGUUCUGCUUGUGGAGCACCAUCUGAAGUGCUGUAUCCACCAUAACCUAGUUAUUCUGUGGCAGAAUCAUACUUGCUGGAAAGAUGGUGGUCAUGCCAUGAUUACAUGUUGAUCUCAAGCAGCUCAAGACAGGUGCUUAGAAUGAGCUAAUAUAUAAUUUCUCACGUGUUGGUUUCCUGCUAGGAGUUUAGUGUCACAGAUGAAGCAGUUUUGCCACAUUUUUAAUUAAGAAAUUUAGUUCCCUGUGUUUUCCCUGGUAAAAUUCCCGGAGAAUUUCUUCCUUAAAGAAAAAAAGGUUCCAAUGAAGAUUUCUUG